ACGGGAUCUCACUAAAUGCUUUUGAUGAUACUGAUAUCGAAAAAUGGAAUCUACGCUUCCGUUUUUUGCUCGAUAGAAUGUACGUUUUAGACGACCUCAGUGAGUAUAUGGCUUCAAACAAAUUAAAAGGAGGCGACACAUUGACAUUUUCUCGGCUGCUGCCUAAUGGACCAUAUGUCUUAGGAUUUAGAAAGGCAUCUACCAAGAAACCAUCAUCGCGUAAGGCAUCGACCCGAGAUAAGAAGUAGCUACUUUCUUUGGAUGAGUGUCUACUGAUCUUGAUAAAAUGCAUUAUCUUUCAAUCUUGAUAUGUAUGAGCGUUAUCGGUGGGAUUAUAUUUAUGAACUUCUAAAUAUUAUGUGGUUGUUAUUGCUAUGAUUGAGACCGAGAGACUAA